CCCUUUUGCUGGAAAGGCCGUAUAAACUGAGUGGGCUCAGAAUUUGCAGCUUGUCAAAACGAACGUGAUGCCCGUUACAGAAAGAAGGCAACAAUAUGAUACCAGGAAAAGAACUGUGCAAAAUUGUGAAUACAGAGAAUCCUGGGCAAGCAAAGAUCAUCAGGAUCAUAUCCAUUUAACAUUUUGAAUACAGAACAUUUAAAUUAUACCAUCAUUGUUUUAUGUUUUACAUUUGUAAUCAUUUUAUUAUGUUAAUUAUGUUACUAUACAGUACAUAUACUAUACAUAAGAACAUUUACAAUGUGUAUAAAGUAUACCAUGGCUAUAGUCCAUGGCUAUUGAGAUAAAU